AGGAGAUGUUGCAGCAAAGCUCUUUUAGUAUAGAAGGUGUUUGGGAAAAAGCCAAGCCUAAAGUAGUAGUAGAAGUAGAAGAACUGUUAAUCCGUCUAUUGAAGUACCAAUUCCUCCACUUUAUCCAGAACACUACAUACAAAUAUUUCUCUCAUGCUUCCCUUUUGUCUUCAUUGAAUAUCAGGCACGAAUACUACCUAGAGACUCAUUGAAAGUUACUAGAGGGAUAUUAUUGAGGAAAGUUCCAGUAUGGGAAAACAGAGGUUUUUGGAAUUGGAGUUGGAGAAUAAAUGUGCAGCCGUAAUUUACACUCUUUGCUUGAAAGAUUAGGGACACAUAUAAUGGGAGUGCUCAGAAGCGCCUGAAGUCUAGAGACCAACCACAAUGUUUCCAUAGGUAUGGUGUUAUUUUGUCUUUAAAACAAAAUGAGCAUGUCAUGGAGGUGGAGGUCAUGUUGAAUAUAAGCCUAGCUGUUAUGGUACAAUCAGAACCAUAGGUGGGUG